rnacentral:rRNA from 1 species
AACGAACGCUGGCGGCAGGCCUAACACAUGCAAGUCGAGCGCGCCCUUCGGGGUGAGCGGCGGACGGGUGAGUAACGCGUGGGACCGUGCCCUUUUCUACGGAAUAGCCUCGGGAAACUGAGAGUAAUACCGUAUACGCUCUUUUGGUGCAAGAUUUAUCGGAAAAGGAUCGGCCCGCGUUGGAUUAAGUAGUUGGUGUGGUAAUGGCCUACCACGCCGAGGCUCCAUAGCUGGUUUGAGAGGAUGAUCAGCCACACUGGGACUGAGACACGGCCCAGACUCCUACGGGAUGCAGCAGUGGGGGAUCUUAGAAAAUGGGGGCAAUCCUGAUCUAGCCAGGCCGGGUGAGUGAUGAAGGCCUUAGGGUAGUAAAGCUCUUUCAGCUGGGAAGAUAAUGACGGUACCAGCAGAAGAAGCCCCGGCUAACUCCGUG